rnacentral:rRNA from 1 species
CCUACGGGAGGCAGCAGUGGGGAAUAUUGGGCAAUGGAGGCAAGUCUGACCCAGCAACGCCGCGUGAGCGAUGAAGGUCUUAGGAUUGGAAAGCUCUUUAAGCGGGGACGAAGAAAGUGACUGUACCCGCAGAAUAAGCCUCGGCUAACUAGGUGCCAGCAGCAGCGGUAAUACGUAGGCGGCAAGCGUUAUCCGGAAUGACUGGGCGUAAAGGGUGCGUAGGUGGUUUGGCAAGUUGGCAGCGUAAUCCAGGGGCUCAACCUCGGUGCUGCUGCCAAAACUGGUGAACUUGAGUGCAGGGGAGGUGAAUGGAAUGCGCAGUGUAGCGGUGGAAUGCGUAGAUAUUGGGCAGAACACCAGCGGCGAAGGCGAUUCACUGAACUGUAACUGACACUGAGGCACGAAAGCGUGGGGAGCAAACAGGAUUAGAUACCCCAGUAGUC